ACCUCAAUACAUAAGAGUUUGAAUAGAGUACUCCGAAUCUCAAAGGGUAGAAUUAACCACUCAUGAUAACUAUUACACGCAAGGAUGACAUGAAAAGAAUAUCCAUGAUGUUUCUCUUUGACGACUAUCUCUUCUAAUGUUUUCCAUUCCUCCUAUUUUCCCAAUUGAGUUACAAGUCACUCAAUGGUGUUUUCUUCUUAAUCUGGCACCCUAGGAUUGUGCCUCAAGCCCCCUAUUUAACCUAAUUUGCUUAGGCUUAAGUGACUUCUCACUUGGGCAUUAAUGUGCUUGCUUGGACGAGUAAAACAUAAAAAGGCCCAACGUCACUAGCGUUAUCUCGCUCAAGCGAGAUUCUACUCGCUUGAGCGAGAUCCACUGGUGACAUCUUGGCUUUUUGCAAAUUUAGGCAUUUUUUAUGAGUGUUG
rnacentral:lncRNA from 1 species